rnacentral:lncRNA from 1 species
GGCCAACAGUCCGGGAGAGUCUCCUUGCAUCUGUCUUCCUCUAACAAGGAUGGGUGUGUGUGGCCCAUAAAUCAACUGGACGCACUUCCCUUUGUUUGCACACUGCCACCGACACAGGCUUGCUAUGAAGAAGAAGAAAUUUUGCUCAGAGGAAACUAGAAAACCUGAACGUAAUUACUAAUGAGAUGUCUGCAAUGUGUCAAGUCUUAACAUCAGAUUGGACACCACCACCAUUUCCUGUUCCACACUGAUCUUCACAUGGUUCUUGCUUUUUAACACAACCUCUGAAAACCGAGCCUCACAAAGGAUGUAUGAAAAAUGCUUCUCUACUCUCAGUGAGGCUUUAUAGAAUACACAGCCCUCUAUGCCACUCUAUGAAGAAAGCAAAGAAAAAGAUCACUCCUAAAAGCAGUGUGCUUUCCCUCAGUGGAAGUCUGUGGAGCAUGGUGAAAUCAGCCAAUCAGAACGUGCGGAGGCCCACUCUAGAGGCACACAGGAAACUAGAAUGAGUGACGCCUGAGAGUUCAAGACAGCAAGCUGCUUUGAGCCCACCAAGGAACGCUGUGACUGUUUUUGUCUUGGCCAGGUGCAGUGGCUCAUGUCUGUAUUCCCAGCACUUUGGGAGACUGAGACGGGUGGAUCACAAGGCCAGGAGUUCGAGAUCAGCCUAUCCAACAUGGUGAAACCCCAUCUCUAAUAAAAAUACAAAAAUUAGCUGGGCGUGGUGGUGGGCACCUGUAAUCCCAGCUACUUGGGAGGCUGAGGCAGGCGAAUUGCUUGAACCUGGG